rnacentral:lncRNA from 10 species
CUGGGUCCUUCAAUACCACACAGAAUCUCCUUGGGUUUAUGCAUGGUGAGGAGAGUAAUUCGCCCUCAUCAAGGCUAUGAUUUAUCCCGCCAUAACUGAGCUAAGGUUUUUGUGAAGACAGCUGAAAUAUCCACACCAUGCAGGGAACAGAGACACAUUAAACAACAACACAUCUCAAAAAAUACUACUUUUGCAGUGGAGAAACCUGAGUGGUAACACAUUAAUCAAUUGAUCCAAGUUAACAUCCCAAUAACGGAACAUACCAACUUCAUGGGCCCCCGGCUGUGAGACACCGAGAAGGUCACAGUGUCCCUCGCUCGAGUAGCAUUCCUGCCAAAAAGGCAAGCCCAAAUCUAAUCCCGAGGAAACAUCAGUCAAACUUAAAUCAAGGGAAAUUCCACAAAAUAAGCGGCCAGUCUUCUUCAAAAAUAGUGUCAUGGAAUACAGACAGGCUGAGAAAGUUCUAAAUUAAAAGAUACUAGUGGGGCAUAUCAAUUACAUGCCAUGCAUGAUCCUGGAUUGGAACAUGGACCGGAAAAAGCUGUUAUAAGAAUGUUAUUGGGCUAAUAGACAAAAUUUGAAUAAGGUCUGCACAUCAGAUAAUAGUCUUGUAGCAAUGUGACAUUUCCUGGUACUGACAAUUGUACUGUGGCUAUGUUGGAGAAUGACCUUAUUAGAAAAUGCAUACCUAGUAUUUGUGGGUAAAAAGGUGUCAUAUUCACAACUUAUUCUCACAUGGUCUAGAAAAAAUAAGUAAGUAGGUAGACAGAAAGAACGAUAGGUAGAUAGAAA